rnacentral:rRNA from 1 species
ACCGGAUAGUUCCUUGAACCGCAUGGUUCAAGGAUGAAAGACGGUUUCGGCUGUCACUUACAGAUGGACCCGCGGCGCAUUAGCUAGUUGGUGAGGUAACGGCUCACCAAGGCGACGAUGCGUAGCCGACCUGAGAGGGUGAUCGGCCACACUGGGACUGAGACACGGCCCAGACUCCUACGGGAGGCAGCAGUAGGGAAUCUUCCGCAAUGGACGAAAGUCUGACGGAGCAACGCCGCGUGAGUGAUGAAGGUUUUCGGAUCGUAAAGCUCUGUUGUUAGGGAAGAACAAGUGCAAGAGUAACUGCUUGCACCUUGACGGUACCUAACCAGAAAGCCACGGCUAACUACGUGCCAGCAGCCGCGGUAAUACGUAGGUGGCAAGCGUUGUCCGGAAUUAUUGGGCGUAAAGGGCUCGCAGGCGGUUUCUUAAGUCUGAUGUGAAAGCCCCCGGCUCAACCGGGGAGGGUCAUUGGAAACUGGGAAACUUGAGUGCAGAAGAGGAGAGUGGAAUUCCACGUGUAGCGGUGAAAUGCGUAGAGAUGUGGAGGAACACCAGUGGCGAAGGCGACUCUCUGGUCUGUAACUGACGCUGAGGAGCGAAAGCGUGGGGAGCGAACAGGAUUAGAUACCCUGGUAGUCCACGCCGUAAACGAUGAGUGCUAAGUGUUAGGGGGUUUCCGCCCCUUAGUGCUGCAGCUAACGCAUUAAGCACUCCGCCUGGGGAGUACGGUCGCAAGACUGAAACUCAAAGGAAUUGACGGGGGCCCGCACAAGCGGUGGAGCAUGUGGUUUAAUUCG